CAGCCUGUGUCAAGGAUAAUAGGCGAACAUGUUAGAGGCUAGAUCCAUUGAGCUCGUUCCAUAGAAUAUCCUAAAGAGUUUGGGAUAUUAUUUUUUCUUCCCAAAGGAUCACAAUGUGAUUAUAAUCUAUCAUGCAGACUUCUUAAAAAAUAGUUUAUCCAAGUAAAGUAGUGAGAGGAAAGUCGAGCUCAAAGAGAGAG
rnacentral:lncRNA from 1 species